rnacentral:rRNA from 1 species
CCUACGGGGGGCUGCAGUGGGGAAUAUUGGACAAUGGGCGAAAGCCUGAUCCAGCCAUGCCGCGUGUGUGAAGAAGGCCUUCGGGUUGUAAAGCACUUUCAGUGGGGAAGAAAGCCUUGGGGCUAAUACCCUCGAGGAAGGACAUCACCCACAGAAGAAGCACCGGCUAACUCCGUGCCAGCAGCCGCGGUAAUACGGAGGGUGCGAGCGUUAAUCGGAAUUACUGGGCGUAAAGCGCGCGUAGGCGGUCUAAUAAGCCGGUUGUGAAAGCCCCGGGCUCAACCUGGGAACGGCAUCCGGAACUGUCAGGCUAGAGUGCAGGAGAGGAAGGUAGAAUUCCCGGUGUAGCGGUGAAAUGCGUAGAGAUCGGGAGGAAUACCAGUGGCGAAGGCGGCCUUCUGGACUGACACUGACGCUGAGGUGCGAAAGCGUGGGUAGCAAACAGGAUUAGAUACCCGGGUAGUC